GGACGUGCGUGCUUGCUACCCGCUGGCGGGACGUCUGGAAGUCCGUCCCCGCCCUGCGCAUCAAUGUAAGCCCCAAAGAGGAUUACGACAGCGCAACUGCCCUGGCCAAGUUUGUCAAUCACCUGCUGCUCCGCCGUGACCCAGCAGCGGCUCUGCGUCAAUGUGAAAUCUGCGCCAGAUUCGAGAAUCUGGACAGGCCCGAGUAUGAGGACAGGGAUCAGGCUCUCCAAUACGUUGAACAGUGGAUCCAGUAUGCUAUAUCUUGCAAGGUUCAGAAACUUCGUGUUGACGGCGUCUACGGUUUUAACAACCGUGUGGAGCUUUCCAAGGCGACUCUCAUCUCCAAGCACCUGAGGAAAUUGUCCCUUGAUUCUUUCAAGUUUGAGGGACGCUCUCUAGAUCUUUCGAGCUGUGAUGCACUAGAGGUGUUAAUGCUGGAGGCUUGUGAUAUCAAUCCUGAGAACAUAUUCCCCAAAUCGUUACAUCAUUUGAGCAUCAGUGGUAGUUCAUCCUUCUUGGCUCCGGACACCCGCACUUCUAUUUCUGCCCCAAGUCUUGUUACCUUGCACUUAACCCGCUUUUGCGGUUGGACUCCUUUGUUUGGGAGCAUGCCAUUAUUGGAAACGGCAUAUAUCAGUUCAGAAGAUCCAUAUCACGAUUUUUGUUACAAUGGCGAUUACUACGGGGAUUGUGGUGAUCACACAUGUAAAGGAUGCUAUAGUUUAUCAUGAUAGUAGCCAAUGUAUGAUUCUUGAUCGUUUGUCAGGCGUAACGAAUUUAAUGUUGAUGAGUGAACCUACAACGUUUAUUUUCAGAAAGGAUUUCAAAUGGCGUCCUAUGUUUAGCAACCUAAAAACGUUGUUGCUCAGUGAGUGGUGCGUUGUUCCUGACUUCAGUGGACUAAUUUACUUUCUCCAGCACUCACCAAUUAUGGAGAAGCUUACCCUUCAGAUUCUGUACUCCAUUAUGGGAGAUGUUGAAAUUGAUGAAAGCUAUAGACCAGCGAAACAUUUCAUGGCAUCGAAGCAUCUCAAGGUAGUAAAAAUCAGAUGCAUAAAGGAAGACAAACUGAUUCGCCAUAUUUUAAAGAUCCUCUGUACACAUGGAGUACCUCGUGAAAAAAUUGACAUCGAAGUGAACCCGUAUU